rnacentral:rRNA from 1 species
UACGGAGGGUGCAAGCGUUAUCCGGAUUCACUGGGUUUAAAGGGUGCGUAGGUGGGCUUGUAAGUCAGCGGUGAAAUCUCCGGGCUUAACCCGGAAACUGCCAUUGAUACUAUAGGUCUUGAAUUAUCUGGAGGUGAGCGGAAUAUGUCAUGUAGCGGUGAAAUGCUUAGAUAUGACAUAGAACACCAAUUGCGAAGGCAGCUCGCUACACGAAUAUUGACUCUGAGGCACGAAAGCGUGGGGAUCAAACAGG